rnacentral:misc_RNA from 1 species
GAGGCGUGCGACGCGUCCGCGGUCGACCUUCUUUUGUUUCUUUGCGCACGCAAGCAGAAAGACGCUUUCGCCCACGCUCACAUCGCACUCGUCAUGGCAGAGGCGUUCUUGAGUCAGCGGCCGCACCCGGCGAACCAGACGAGGGACGCGGGGUCUUCUGUAAUGCAGAUGCGCGUUUCGUGGACGUGCAACGGCCUGGAUAUCCACGUCCCACCUCUGCGGUAUAUUUGGCGUGGCGUGCACCGUUCCAUCGUGGACAACAUCGACAAAGUUUCCGCAAUGGUGUACCCCAUCCCCUUCUCGUGCGUGGUCGCCUGCGCUGCCGGGUCGUGCGUGUGUGUGUGGUAUGUACCGCAGACGUCCUGGGUGCACACCAACCCAGCCAGCACGUGGCUGCGCUACUUCGACUCCAUUGUGACACCGCUCUCGCGGUACCUCCCCCCGUCCUUUCAGGCACCCGUGCUCUGCGCAAAGGCGUGGGCCGUCACGCUCGCCGCGGCGACGGUGCUGCACCGCUUCGCCUUGCGCAGGCUGCUGCAGUACAAGGGAUGGAUGCUGGAGAGAAACCCCCAAAAGCCGUCGUGGCGCACGCGCGUGUGGUCGCUGGUCAUGCGCGCCUUUUUCACUCGCCCGUCCAUCCCAAAGACAAGAGUGUACGGGAGCUGCCUUCCCAGCGUACCGCUGCCCUCGCUGCAGCAGACGGUGAGCAGCUACCUCUCCAGCAUGCGUUCCCUUUACCAUCAAAAGGACAGCGACGUAAACGAGUGGCUGGAGCUGCGCCGGUCCGCUGAGUCCUUCCUGCUCAACGAAGGUCCAUCACUGCAGAUGUACCUGCGACUGCAGAAUGUGAUGGGCCACAGCUACGUCCCUGAGUUGUGGACCCGAAACGUCUUCCUUGCCGCGCGCGACUCGCUGUGUCUGCACUCGAACUUUUACACCGUUCCUUUUGCGACGCACCUGCCCACCCCUCUCCCCGAGGCGCGCGCAGCGGUGCUUAUUUACCUAAUGACGCGGCUCAAGGGUCACAUUGAGCGCCGUACAUUGUGCCCCAACUUCAUUGGCCCUCGUGAUUGUGUGCCCCUGUCCAUGGACCAGUACUCGAUGGCGUUUAACACAACUCGCAUUCCCGGACGUGAGGUAGACGUCCUCGAGCAUCGUGGAGAGCGGGAGAACAGCUACCUCGUCAUUCUACACCGUGGCCGCAUUUAUCAAAUGCCAGUCAUUGACCCACAGACGGGGCGCCAGCUCACCCCGCAUCAGCUGGAGGUGGUGCUGCACCAGCUGCUCUUGGAGGUGGAGGAGGAGGUGAGCACCGGCCGCGACGAGUCUGAGGAGGACGACGCGGAGGACACGCUGGAGACGCUCGGGAAGAAGCGCUCAUACCGCGUAGUGGAGGCGCUGCUGCCUGCCCUGACCACCGCAUCCCGUGCGCAGUGGGCCGACGUGCGUACUAGCUAUCUGCUUCACGACUCCAACAACAACGGCCCCUUGCGCAUAAUCGAGAAGGCGUUAUUCGUGGUCAGCUUCGAUGAGCGAUGUGGGAUGGCAGUGCCUUCAAAGGCGAGCUCGGCCGUGGACGAGGUGAAGCGCCUCUCCAUGGACUGCGCUCACUAUCUCUGCGGCAACGGCUCCAACCUGUGGUGUGACAAGAGCUUCAAUCUCGUCGUCCGCUCUGACGGGCAUGUUGGCCUGCACGUGGAGCACUCGUGGAGCGACAUGUCCACGUUUCUCGGGUUCUUCGAGCACGUGUCUGCGCAGGAGGAGUCUGCCGAUCUCUGGUACGACACGGAAAGCGGACACGCAAAGAAGCUGCCCGAGGACAAGCGUCGUGCCAAGCCGUUCCGUGCCCCCAACAUCGACAACCCGCUGUGCCCGAAGCGGCUGCGCUUCACCAUCCACAAAAAGCUGGCUGCUGCUAUUCGCCGGGCGCACACAGAGUUCCUCCUCAACACCAGCUCGCAGGUGGACCUCCACGUCGUGCGGUACAGCGAGUACGGCCGUGAAGUCCCCAAGAGCAUGGGAUGCAGUCCCGACGCGUGGGUCCAAAUGGCUAUUCAGCUCGCCCAUUACAUUGAUCAGGGAGGGCACUUCAGCCUCGUGUACGAGUCUGUGCCGCAGCGCAUGUUUGCGAAGGGUAGGACGGAGGCGGUGCGCAGUGUUACUGACGUGAGUAGCACCUUCGUGAAGGCGAUGGCCUCCACUGGAGGUGAGGAUGAGGCUAUGUCUGCAGAGGAGAAGCGAGCACUGUUGAUCGAAGCCUGCGCCAAUCACCAGCGCGCCGUGCAGGAGGCUGUGGCGGGAGGUGGGGUGGACAGGCAUCUCUUCGCGCUGUUCAUGGCGAGCGCUAGCCAGGAGACACCUUCCGACUUCCUUACCGCCGCCCUUCGCAAGACGAAGUGGAAAGUGAGCAGCGCUCAGGCCCAUCAACGCAACCUGCUCGAUCGACUCCACCCCGCAGGUGGCGGCAGCUGUUAUCACGAGACGCCUGGGUUUGGCUUUGGCCCUGUAUCCCCCGAUGGCUACGGUAUCUCCUACUGUUUCUGUGCCAACGAGGUGCUCUACGUCACUAUCACAUCCUACAAGAACUGCGACGCCACGUCGUCGCGCACCCUCGGCAACCACAUGACGAGGGCUCUCGACAUGCUGGGCGCGCUCAGCGCGUCUGGUCGCGACGACUCAGCACCGCGCUGAGAAAGGGAGAGUGAGUGCUGCAGCAGCUCGCGGCGACGUCCGACUUUCGAGGCUUCAUUUCUCGUGUCGAUAAGUACGUAUGCGGUGUGCGGCCGAUAGGGAGGCAGGGAGGUGGCGUGGCACGCCUUGUCUUCUCCUCUUGCUUCAUGCUCUGUUUGGUGUCCGUCGUCCUUGGCCUGGUGCCCUACAUUCGCCCCGUUAGUGUUCUUUGCCUCGUUGUCUUCGUUAGGCGAACAGCAAUGGGACAUCUGAGAAAACGAAUGUGAUCGAUGCAGCGCUUGUCUUCGAGGCGCAGACGGGAUGUGUGUCUGUCUGUAUGUGAAGGGGAACGGCGAGUGAGAGGCACAACCAUACGGAGAUUGAGAGAACUCUCUGUCUUUCUCGUGUGCCCACUCCGUGGGGCUGUGCCCUCACCUCUUCUUGACACUGCACACUCUCACUCAUUCAGAGGGACAAAGGCGAGCUGCGCCGAUGACCUUCUUUGUGUUGUUCGCUUUUCGACUGAGGGAGCGUACAGGCGACAGACAUGCAUGUAUGGACGUAUAUAUAUAUAUAUAUGCAAGCGAAAUGCGAAAAGAAAAGGACACCCCCAGUAGCUUCUUCUUCCCCCUCCCCCCAAUCUCUCACACACACGCACACACGUCUGUACCCACGUGCAG